UGAGGAAUAUUGGACAAUGGAUGGAAAUCUGAUCCAGCCAUGCCGCGUGCAGGAAGACGGUCCUAUGGAUUGUAAACUGCUUUAGCAUGGGAGCAAUAAGGUGUACGCGUACACCGAUGAGAGUACCAUGAGAAUAAGCAUCGGCUAACUCCGUGCCAGCAGUCGCGGUAAUACGGAGGAUGCGAGCGUUAUCCGGAUUUAUUGGGUUUAAAGGGUGCGUAGGCGGACGAUUAAGUCAGCGGUGAAAGCGUGUGGCUCAACCAUACCACUGCCGUUGAUACUGGUUGUCUUGAGUGUAAACGAGGUAGGCGGAAUGUGAUGUGUAGCGGUGAAAUGCU
rnacentral:rRNA from 1 species